rnacentral:rRNA from 1 species
AGCGUAGGUGGUUAGGUAAGCCCUCCGGGAAAUCUUCAGGCUUAACCUGAAAAGGUCGGGGGGGACUGCCUGGCUAGAGGACGGGAGAGGAGCGCGGAAUUCCCGGUGUAGCGGUGAAAUGCGUAGAGAUCGGGAGGAAGGCCGGUGGCGAAGGCGGCGCUCUGGAACGUUUCUGACACUGAGGCUCGAAAGCGUGGGGAGCAAACA